CAGUCGCCACGGUAAUGCGUAGGUGGCAAGCGUUGUCCGGAAUUAUUGGGCGUAAAGGGCUCGCAGGCGGUUUCUUAAGUCUGAUGUGAAAGCCCCCGGCUCAACCGGGGAGGGUCAUUGGAAACUGGGAAACUUGAGUGCAGAAGAGGAGAGUGGAAUUCCGCGUGUAGCGGUGAAAUGCGUAGAGAUGUGGAGGAACACCAGUGGCGAAGGCGACUCUCUGGUCUGUAACUGACGCUGAGGCACGAAAGCGUGGGGAGCAAACAGGAUUAGAUACCCCGGUAGUCCCUGUCUCUUAUAA
rnacentral:rRNA from 1 species